AUGACGACGGAUCCAAAACGAAGAAGCAAUAAUACAUCCUCUUUCGUUUCACCAACAGAUUCUCAACCUACCUUUCCCGAACUGCUACCCACUGCGUGCUGUGUCUCGCGCUUGCGUUCAUUCUUCUUCUCAUUUUCUCCUUCUUCUUCACCUCUCGCAACUUUGUUUGCAUCUCGGCUUCAUCUUUCUUCAAACCCGCUGCUCGCGCUGCUUUCUUCGGCCUUGAUGGACUGGAUUCCGAUUUCGGAGCUCUCGGCGUGCCCUGAUGCAGAUCGAAACAUGGUAAAACUGUAG